GGGUUUCUCUAGCCGACGGAAAAAAAGCACAUCAAUUGUUGAGAUUUAUUCCUCGGAUGCGCUAACAUGAUACAUAUUCAUUGUAGUACUUGAUUCUGUUCUUAUCAUGUGUUGGUUGGAUCUCAUUUUUUUUAAUUGUUGAGAUUUACUAAUAUGUUAUUGCUUGUUUAGGUCUCCGAUAAUUUACUUCAUGAUGCGAGUAGCAAUCAAGAAACUUUAAUCUUUUGUUCUCAAACCCUCAGAAGCAAGGUACAACGAGAUUUUGAAGAGCUGCCUUCUGAAGCUUUUCGCCCGUUACGGGAUUUAUUAAAUAGCUUAUUGAAAACAUUUCACAAAGGCCCCCCCUAAAGUUAGAACCCAGAUUAGCCUUGCUGUGGCUGCAUUGGCUGUUCAUGUUCCUGCUAAAGAUUGGGGUGAUGGUGGCAUUGUAAAUUGGCUUAGAGAUGAGAUGAAUUCUCACCCCGAAUGCAUACCAAGCUUCCUCGAGCUACUAAGAGUUUUGCCUGAGGAUCCCUGCUUCUACACUUGCUUCUCACCCAUUGGUGCUAACAGCUCUCUCUAGCUUGAAUUCUGAUAUCCUUUCAGAGGCAUCCGUGAAUGUUAUAUAAUCAUCAUUUUGGUGAAGAUGAUUGAUGACUUGAUGAAGCUGAAGAGAGCUGUGGAUGAAGUUAUUUUCAGAGAAUUUGGAGAGCACACUGAAUAUUAUUAUUUUUAUGAUUUUGUAUUGUCAUAUUGUAUUUAAAGGGGUUUUAUAAGUUUUUUAAGUUUUUUCAUUUUUUAAUAUAUGUAAGCACAGAUAAUUUUUUUUAUUUAAUUCCUUUGUAUAUAGUUUUGAAUAUUUAAUUUCCAUUUAUGAAAUAUAUGACGUUAUUCUA